rnacentral:SRP_RNA from 1 species
GCCGGAUGAGGUGGCGCGUGCCUGUAGUCCCAACUACUGAGGAGGCUGAGGCAGGAGGAUCGCUUGAGCCCAGGAGUUGGAGGCUGUAGUGCGCUACGUUGAUCAGGUGUCUGCACUAAGUUCGGCAUCAAUAUUGUGACCUCCCAGUAGUGGGGGACCACCAGGUUGCCUAAGGAAGGGCGAACCGGCCCAGGUCGGAAAUGGAGCAGGUGAAAACUCCUGUGCCGAUCAGUAGUGGGAUCACGCCUGUGAAUAGCCACUGCACUCCAGCCUGGGCGACAUAGCGAGAACCCGUGUCA